GGAAGCCUGCCGCUGUACCACUCGAGAGCCACACUCAGCUUUGAUCCGACUGUUUUGAAUACAGCCCAACAUACAAAAUGUUCAUUUUGCAUAUAGUCUUUGGAGGACUCUUCUUGGGAUUUCCACUGUGGGAUUAUAACACAGAAGUCAUGAGAUGGUGAAAAAAAGAAAAGAAAGGAGAUUGUUCAUGCUCAAGAUUGAAUUUAUACCUGGAGUCCCAUCCCCAACAAAAGUGAUUUCUGAGAGAAAGAGAGCUGGUGAGAAAAUGUGUGCUGAGAAUGGCCAUGCCUUAGGGAGCAGAGCUGCUACUGCUCAGCCACUGACGG